UGGCAAGUUACUAAGGGCGCACGGUGGAUGCCUUGGCAUCAGGAGCCGAUGAAGGACGUAGGAGGCUGCGAUAAGCCUCGGGGAGCUGCCAACCGAGCUGUGAUCCGGGGAUGUCCGAAUGGGGAAACCCGGCUGGGGUCAUGCCCAGUCGCCCGUGCCUGAACACAUAGGGCACGUGGUGGGAACGUGGGGAAGUGAAACAUCUCAGUACCCACAGGAAGAGAAAACAAUUGUGAUUCCGUUAGUAGUGGCGAGCGAACGCGGAAGAGGCCAAACCACAGUGGCGUGAUAGACGCCAGUUGUUGCCGCUGUGGGGUUGUGGGAUCACCACGUCGAUUCUGGCGGGUCGACAAAGAGUUAGAAAUGUUUUACGUAGUCGAAGGCCAUGCGAAAGGGCCGGCACAGAAGGUAAUACCCCUGUAGACGAAACGUAGGGCACUCUUUGGUGAUAUCCCAAGUAGCACGGGGCCCGAGAAAUCCCGUGUGAAUCCGGCGGGACCACCCGCUAAGCCUAAAUACUUCCUGAUGACCGAUAGCGGACAAGUACCGUGAGGGAAAGGUGAAAAGUACCCCGGGAGGGGAGUGAAAUAGUGCCUGAAACCGUGUGCCUACAAGCCGUUGGAGCCUGGAAGAUCUUCGGAUCAGGGUGACAGCGUGCCUUUUGAAGAAUGAGCCUGCGAGUUAGUGAUAUGUGGCGAGGUUAACCCGUGAGGGGCAGCCGUAGCGAAAGCGAGUUCGAAUAGAGCGAAUGAGUCGCAUGUUCUAGACCCGAAGCGGAGUGAUCUACCCAUGGCCAGGUUGAAGCGAAGGUAAGACUUCGUGAAGGACCGAACCCACCAAUGUUGAAAAAUUGGGGGAUGAGCUGUGGGUAGGGGUGAAAGGCCAAUCAAACUCCGUGAUAGCUGGUUCUCCCCGAAAUGCAUUUAGGUGCAGCGUCACGCGUUUCUUGUCGGAGGUAGAGCACUGGAUGGGCUAGGGGGCCUACAAGCUUACUGAACUCAACCAAACUCCGAAUGCCGAUAAGUAAGAGCGUGGCAGUGAGACUGUGGGGGAUAAGCUUCAUAGUCGAAAGGGAAACAGCCCAGACCACCAACUAAGGCCCCUAAGCGUGUGCUAAGUGGGAAAGGAUGUGGAGUUGCAUAGACAACCAGGAGGUUGGCUUAGAAGCAGCCACCCUUAAAAGAGUGCGUAAUAGCCCACUGGUCAAGUGAUUCCGCGCCGACAAUGUAACGGGGCUCAAGCACAUCGCCGAAGUUGUGGCAUUCACACCGAUAACCCGGCCGUAAGGUCCAGGUGUGUGGAUGGGUAGGGGAGCGUCGUGUGGCGAGCGAAGCGGCGGGGUGACCCAGCCGUGGACGCCACACGAGUGAGAAUGCAGGCAUGAGUAGCGAAAGACGGGUGAGAAACCCGUCCGCCGGAUGACCAAGGGUUCCAGGGCCAGGCUAAUCCGCCCUGGGUAAGUCGGGACCUAAGACG
rnacentral:rRNA from 1 species